GAUAUGUUUCAGAAAUGGUUGCAAUUACCUACUGGUGGUAAGGUGGCCGAGCUUCAGGGUUUAUAACAGCCCAGCUCAAAGAGCCAUCAAGUCCGCGACCCGCAAAAAGGGUUAACCUGGUUAAAGUCCAGGACCAACGGUACAGUCCGGAUGUCAGAAACGGAGA
ncrna:unclassified sequences FMN riboswitch (RFN element)